GUCGUGCUCAUGGCUGAACCUGGAGGAGGCUUUCUUGGAACGCUUCUCCAUGGAGCUGUUCACGUCAGCAAGAUACUCCAUGGGAUUAUGGGUGGGGACCACGGUGUCCAAGAGCAGGAAGAGCAGCUGGACAAACGUUCAACCGAUUACAACUCAGGGCGGCCUGGUUUUUCCUAGACUAAAGGGGCCAUUG